rnacentral:misc_RNA from 1 species
GAUGAAGAACGCAGCGAAAUGCGAUAAGUAGUGUGAAUUGCAGAAUUCAGUGAAUCAUCGAAUCUUUGAACGCACAUUGCGCCCUAUGGUAUUCCGUAGGGCAUGCCUGUUCGAGCGUCAUUCAAACCUUCAAGCUCUGCUUGGUGUUGGGCGUCUGUCCUGCCUCACGGCGCGGACUCGCCUCAAAUCUAUUAGCGGCCGGCACGUUGGCUUCGAGCGCAGCAGAAACGCGAACUCGAGACCGGCGGAUCGGCUCCCAGAAGCUACCCCCAUGAAUUUGACCUCGGAUCAGGUAGGGAUACCCGCUGAACUUAAGCAUAUCAAUAAGCGGAGGA